UACAGAGGUGGCAAGCGUUGUUCGGAAUUACUGGGCGUAAAGGGCGCGUAGGCGGCCUUCUAAGUCAGACGUGAAAUCCCCAGGCUUAACUUGGGAACUGCGUCUGAUACUGGAUGGCUUGAGUUUGGGAGAGGGAUGCGGAAUUCCAGGUGUAGCGGUGAAAUGCGUAGAUAUCGAGAGGAACACCUGCGGCGAAGGCGGGUUGCUGGGCUGACACUGACGCUGAUGCGCGAAAGCUAGGGGAGCGAACGGG
rnacentral:rRNA from 1 species